rnacentral:tRNA from 1 species
GGUCGAUUAGCUCAGAUGGUUAGAGCGCUUGCCUCACAUGCAAGAGGCCGCUGGUUCGACUCCAGCAUCGACCA